UCCUACGGGGGGCAGCAGUAGGGAAUUUUCGUCAAUGGGCGCAAGCCUGAACGAGCAAUGCCGCGUGAACGAGGAAGGUCUUCGGAUCGUAAAGUUCUGUUGAAGGGGAAAAAGAGCGGAGAGAGGAAAUGGUCUCCGAUUGAUAUUACCCUUCGAGGAAGUCACGGCUAACUACGUGCCAGCAGCCGCGGUAAUACGUAGGUGGCGAGCGUUAUCCGGAAUGAUUGGGCGUAAAGGGUGCGUAGGCAGCCUGCUAAGUCUGGAGUGAAAGGUACCGGCUCAACCGGUACAGGCUCUGGAAACUG
rnacentral:rRNA from 1 species